GGAAGGGUGGCUGAGUGGCUGAAGGCACCUGACUCGAAAUCAGGCGUAGGGGCAACCCUACCGGGGGUUCAAAUCCCUCCCCUUCCGCCA
rnacentral:tRNA from 1 species